rnacentral:misc_RNA from 1 species
CAACCCUCAAGCCCCCGGGCUUGGUGUUGGGGAUCGGCGAGCCUCCGCGCCCGCCGUCCCCUAAAUCUAGUGGCGGUCUCGCUGUAGCUUCCUCUGCGUAGUAGCACACCUCGCACUGGGAAACAGCGCGGCCACGCCGUUAAACCCCCAACUUCUGAA